ACCUGUCUCCGGCCUGCCUCUCCUCUAGAGACCCGUCCUCCUGCGCAAGGGAAACGCUAUUGUAACAACGGUGCGGUCUGCAAAAGCUGUCAUUACCACUUUCUGCAAAAUGUUUUCCUGCCAAAAAAUAAACAAAUUGGAAAAGCUUAGACGGUGCACUCACUGUGGCCAUGUCGAUGGAAGCCGUGGCUUCGUCCAUGAUGAGGAUGCUGCUCUUG